AAUAAUUGCAUAGAGUAGAAUCCUAGGUAUCUAGAGUCGAAGAAGGGCGUUUUAUGAUUACGAUAAGCUUAAAAUAUAGAUAAUUUUAAGAUCCCCUAAUAGGAUAACCUAAAAAAAAUUUUGAAAUAAAUUUUUUUUAUUUUCUUUUAAAUUCAUAAAAAAGAAAAUGGUAACUCAGUGAACUGAAUCAUCUUAGUAACUGAUGGAAAAGAAAGCAACAGCGAUUUCCUUAGUAGUGGUGAGCGAAAAGGAAACAGUCUAAAAAAAGAUUUCUAUUUUUUUAUUUAUGAAAUAAUUAAUCAUUAUGCCAAAGAUGGUAUUAGCCCAGUAAUUAAAUAAAAUAAUAACACUUUAAAUCUUUUUUGUAAAGUAGUAUGGAAGAUAAUCCGUAUGAAAAUAUAAGGACCACCUUAUAAGACUAA
rnacentral:rRNA from 1 species